UGCCCAGCAACUCCUAUCUCUACCUCCUCACGGUACUGGCCGGGGUACGAGUAAUUUUAAGGAAGAUUGGGUUAUCAACCCCGGUGGGAACUCUGAUCGUAUGCUGACAGGGAAGG
rnacentral:ribozyme from 1 species